UACGGGGGGGGCAAGCGUUGUUCGGAAUUAAUGGGCGUAAAGGGUUUGUAGGUGGCCAACUAAGUCAGACGUGAAAUCCCUCAGCUUAACUGGGGAACUGCGUCUGAUACUGGUUGGCUUGAGUGCAGGAGAGGAAUGCGGAAUUCCAGGUGUAGCGGUGAAAUGCGUAGAUAUCUGGAGGAACACCGGUGGCGAAGGCGGCAUUCUGGACUGCAACUGACACUGAUGAACGAAAGCCAGGGGAGCAAAUGGG
rnacentral:rRNA from 1 species